UGUUCUGAUUUUUCUUUGAAAAUCUUGCACCACUGUUAGAAUUUUGGGAGCAAGUGCGAGAGUGAGCGAGAAGAAAAACAAAAUGAUGCACAACUCUCGCUCGCUCGUUCGUAAUUUCAUCAACAUGGCAAUAAAAAUCAAAACCGGGAAAAGUUGCAGCAUUUUCUGCCAAUUUCGAAGCAGGAAAUCAAGAAUUGGAACUUCAAAGUGGGAUCUACGCUGAGGGAAUAUCAUUCAUUCUUUGGACAUUGGCUGGAAAGGUGUUUUAAAAAUUAACAAUUUCUAAGCUGAUUCAUCCGACUUUGGAAGCGGUCAUGGCGUGGUCGUGGUGCUCCUGCUGCAGGUUCAAGAUAAAGUGUUCUGAACAGCUUGGAUAACUGUGCAAUACUUGAAUACAAUUCAUGAAUAAAUGUGUUUGAGCCUGAUCAAA